rnacentral:rRNA from 1 species
CCUACGGGUGACAGCAGUGGGGAAUAUUGGACAAUGGGGGGAACCCUGAUCCAGCGACGCCGCGUGAGUGAAGAAGUAUUUCGGUAUGUAAAGCUCUAUCAGCAGGGAAGAAAGAAAUGACGGUACCUGACUAAGAAGCCCCGGCUAACUACGUGCCAGCAGCCGCGGGAAUACGUAGGGGGCAAGCGUUAUCCGGAUUUACUGGGUGUAAAGGGAGCGUAGACGGCGAUGCAAGUCUGAAGUGAAAGGCGGGGGCCCAACCUCCGGACUGCUUUGGAAACUGUAUGGCUGGAGUGCAGGAGAGGUAAGUUGAAUUACUAGUGUAGCGGUGAAAUGCGUAGAUAUUAGGAGGAACACCAGUGGCGAAGGCGGCUUACUGGACUGUAACUGACGUUGAGGCUCGAAAGCGUGGGGAGCAAACAGGAUUAGAUACCCCAGUAGUC